rnacentral:rRNA from 1 species
GGAGAGGUGUGCGGAUUAUCAGGUAGUUGGUAGGGUAACGGCCUACCAAGCCUAUGACGAUUAGCUGGUCUUAUGAGGAUGUCCAGCCAGAGGAGCACUGAGAUACGGGCUCCACACCUACGGGUGGCAGCAAUCAGGAAUAGUUGGCAAUGGGGGAAACCCUGACCACGCGACACCGCGUGUAGGAAUAAGGUCUUACGAUCGUAAACUACUGUGGUAGGGGAUGAAGAUAGCCGUAAGGCUAUUUGACAGUACCUUACUAGAAAGUGACCGCUAACUGCGUGCCAGCAGCGGCGGUAAUACGUGGGUCACAAGCGUUAUCCGAUGUAACUGGGCGUAAAGAGUAUGUAGGUGGUCUUCUAAGUUACUUUUCAAAGCCCCUUGCUUACCAAGGGAAAGGGAAGUAAUACUAGUUGACUUGAAUUUUCUUUAGGGUAACUGGAAUUAAUGGAGGAGUAGUGAAAUGCGUUGAUACCAUUAAGAACACCAGUGGCGAAGGCGAGUUACUGGAAGGAAAUUGACACUGAGAUACGAAAGCUAGGGGAGCGAACGGGAUUAGAGACCCCGGUAGUCCUAGCCCUAAACGAUGCUUGUUAGCUGCACUGACUCGAUUUAUCGAUUUGGUGUGGCGUAGCUAACGCGAUAAACAGGCCGCCUGGGAAGUAUAGCCGCAAGGCUGAAACUUAAAGGAAUUGACGG